GGAUAAAAAGUAGCCUAUGUUUCUCUCCAAGUCUUUUAAUAUACCCGUGCAAGAAAUCGUGUUGAUCCGUUGCGACGUUAUUGAAGAACAAAACAAUAUACCAACAAACAGACACACUUUCGUAUUUAUAAUGUGCGAAUUGAUAGUGA